rnacentral:rRNA from 1 species
GAUGAACGCUGGCGGCGUGCCUAAUACAUGCAAGUCGAGCGAAUGGAUUAAGAGCUUGCUCUUAUGAAGUUAGCGGCGGACGGGUGAGUAACACGUGAGUAACCUGCCCAUAAGACUGGGAUAACUCCGGGAAACCGGGGCUAAUACCGGAUAACAUUUUGAACCGCAUGGUUCGAAAUUGAAAGGCGGCUUCGGCUGUCACUUAUGGAUGGACCUGCGUCGCAUUAGCUAGUCGGUGAGGUAACGGCUCACCAAGGCAACGAUGCGUAGCCGACCUGAGAGGGUGAUCGGCCACACUGGGACUGAGACACGGCCCAGACUCCUACGGGGGGCAGCAGUAGGGAAUCUUCCGCAAUGGACGAAAGUCUGACGGAGCAACGCCGCGUGAGUGAUGAAGGCUUUCGGGUCGUAAAACUCUGUUGUUAGGGAAGAACAAGUGCUAGUUGAAUAAGCUGGCACCUUGGCGGUACCUAACCAGAAAGCCACGGCUAACUACGUGCCAGCCGCCGCGGUAA